AUCAAAACCGGCCGAUCGGCCCUUCUGAAUUCGCUCGACGUCUUCUUCUCCGGCCAUCCAGUCGCCGUCUGCUACCACCGGCAUUAGCUGCCGACGUGUUCGACACAGGCGCUCUCUCUUCCUUCUCCUUCCUCACGCAGAAAACAAGCGAGCCCUAGUUUCAUCUGGUGAGUCGCCGCUGCUGUCGCGCCUCCGUCUGGGAUCCGGCGAUUCAGCCGGCGCUGGCCGCACUCAUUUCUCCCCUCGUCUCAAACAUGGAAUCGGGCGGUACCGGCCGCUCUCUCUCUUUCUCGGCCAAGAUCUGAUCGGCCCUCUUCCUCGGCUGUUCAGCGGCCGUCGGUUCCGGUCUCUCUCCCUCACGCUGAAGUUCCGCCGCCGCCUUGUGAAGGCCGGCGAGCGGCGCUGCCUCACUCCCUCUCUCACUUUACAUCUCUCAAAGAAAUUCUCGCCUGUACUUCGAUCUGUUGUCUCCGCUGUCGCUUCUCUGAAAUUGGCGAGUGGAGGGGAAAGCUUGCUGCCGGCGGCGAUUCUCCUAUUCCGACGUUCAUGGAAACUCCGUCAUCGAGUCGUCUCCUCAAAUCAGAGCAGGGCAGCAGCCCGCUCCCUUCUAAAGCUAAGUCAAAAAUAAUCUCGCCCCGUUUUCUAUCGGUUCUUAACGUGAAAUAGGCAAGGAUAAGGUGUAAUCUCUUCUUGCUUUGCAUAAACUCAUAUGCUUGUUUAAAGCUUCAUAUCAAUUGUCCUUAGCUCAUGAAAGCGUAGUUGGUGUAUUUACUAAGUUCAAAAUGCUUAAAAAGUCGUCUAUCAUUGUGAAACUGAUCAUGCUUUGGUUAUGUCGCCUAUCAUGCUUGAAUGCAGUAAUGUGUGAUGGAAAACAAUAUAUGGGCUAAGCAAUACCUUGAAAUGUGUUGUUGGUUAAAUAUUGUUGUUUGUUGAACUGGAGUAACUGAACUUAAGGUUCCUGGCAAAGAGGAAAUGAAUGAUUCUUGUGUUAAUGCAGGUGCUAAUCAAAUGGAAUGAAAUCAUUGAAGCCCAGCCUUACCUUGUGAGCUUCGGCUGAAUGAGCUGGGCUAUUCUUUGAUUCUCUUUUGGAUGAGAUGAGUUGAGAGUGAAAACUGUAUUUGUUGGCUGAUUGCAUUUGUUGGGUGGGGAGCAAAGGGUGGUGGCUGAUAGUAUAAAAGGAAUGAAUAAUUGAGUGGAGUUGGUGGAGUGGAGUUGGUGAUUGAAGAGCUUUUGCUUUUGCUAAUUGAUUUGGUUGUCUUCUUGAUUGAUUAUGCUAUGUAUGAAAGAGGCUUAUGAUGUUACUCAUGUGGUCAACGUAUAUACAUGCUUCAUGCUUGAGGUCUAAAUUAUGCUAUGGUAUGUUGAUAGUGUAGGAGACAUUAGGGAGUGGAAAGAAU
rnacentral:lncRNA from 1 species